rnacentral:rRNA from 1 species
UCGCCUGUUUAUCAAAAACAUAGCCUAGAGGGAAUUAUUUUAGGUGAAGCCUGCCCGGUGACAGAGAUUUUAACGGCCGCGGUACUUUGACCGUGCUAAGGUAGCAUAAUCAGUUGACUUUUAAAUGAAGUCUUGUAUGAAUGGAUCCAUGGGAUUAAGCUGUCUCUUCCUUAUUCUAUUGAAAUUACUAAAUAGGUGAAAAGGCCUAUAAAUGAAAAAAGACGAGAAGACCCUUAGAGUUUUUAUAAGGAUUUUUGUUGGGGCGACAAGAAGACAUUAUAAACUCUUCUAGUAUAUAGUUUGACUUGCCGAUUUUUUUAAGUAUGGAUAAACUACCUGAGGGAUAACAGCAUAAUCCAAUUUUUGGGUUUGUGACCUCGAUGUUGGACUAGGAAACUUAUACUCUAGCAGAGUGUAAAGUUAGGUUCUGUUCGAACUUUUCUUCCUACGUGAUCUGAGUUCAGACCGGA